UACGUAGGGGGCAAGCGUUGUCCGGAAUCAUUGGGCGUAAAGCGCGUGUAGGCGGCCCCGAUAAGUCCGCUGUGAAAGUCCAGGGCUCAACCCUGGGAUGCCAGUGGAUACUGUCGGGCUCGAGUACGGAAGAGGCGAGUGGAAUUCCUGGUGUAGCAGUGGAAUGCGCAGAUAUCAGGAGGAACACCAAUAGCGAAGGCAGCUCGCUGGGACGUUACUGACACUGAGGCGCGAAAGCGUGGGGAGCGAACAGG
rnacentral:rRNA from 1 species